CCUACGGGAGGCAGCAGUAAGGAAUAUUGGUCAAUGGGCGGAAGCCUGAACCAGCCAUGCCGCGUGCAGGAAGACGGCCCUACGGGUUGUAAACUGCUUUUGUACUGGAAUAAACCUUCGUAUGGAUACGAAGCUGAAUGUACAGUAAGAAUAAGGAUCGGCUAACUCCGUGCCAGCAGCCGCGGUAAU
rnacentral:rRNA from 1 species